CAUCAAAGAAUCGAGGGGGGUGGUAAUUUCCCAUUUUACAUUUUUAAAGCUAGUAUAAGAAACAGUUUGGCAUAUCUUUUUCUUCUGUUAGAAGCUAGUAAGCUGACAGUCGAUUUAUCGAUGUCCUCUGAGCAGUGAAGAUACUUCCACAUUUUAAGUUAUCAUCAAACGUUGAACUAUGGGGAUGAAGGUUGUAAUGGUUCUCAUGUUUGUUUUGUCUUUCUAUGGACUUUCAAGAUCUAGGCCAUUGGAGGCUCCCCCAGAGAGAAAAGGCAUGUUGUAUUUUCUAGUGGAUGUCAAUGCCUAUGAAGCUCAACAAGUGAUAAAUUUCAACGAUCUUUCGGCAAUAAUAGGAGAAAAUUCCACAUUGAACAAAGUAUUUCCCAAUUUGUGGUGAUCACUCCAAAAUCGGGAUGAACAAGAGAAAAAUUCUGCAGUUUGUCUAUGAUGACUUGAAUGUCAGAUUUAAAAGAUACAAUUUAACUAGAAAUAUCAUGUAAUAAAACAUAACUAUA